ensembl:lncRNA
CACUACACUACACACUACACACUACACUACACUACACACUACACUACACACUACACACUACACUACACACUACACUACACACUACACUACACUACACACUACACUACACACUACACUACACACUACACACUACACUACACUACACAACACACUACACACUACACACUACACACUACACUACACUACACACUACACUACACUACACACUGGACUACACUACACAACACACUACACACUACACACUACACUACACUACACACUACACUACACUACACACUACACUACACUACACACUGGACUACACACUACACACUACACACUGGACUACACUACACACUACACUACACACUGGACUACACACUACACACUACACUACACACUACACUACACACUACACUACACUACACACUACACACUACACUACACUACACACUACACUACACUAUACACUACACUACACACUACACACUACACUACACACUACACUACACACUACACACUACACACUACACUACACACUACACACUACACUACACACUACACACUACACACUACACUACACUACACACUACACACUACACUACACUACACACUACACUACACUAUACACUACACUACACACUACACACUACACUACACACUACACUACACACUACACACUACACACUACACACUACACUACACACUACACACUACACUACACUACACACUACACUACACUACACACUACACACUACACUACACACUACACACUACACUACACUACACACUACACUACACACUACACACUACACUACACACUACACUACACACUACACUACACUACACACUACACUACACACUACACUACACACUACACACUACACUACACUACACAACACACUACACACUACACACUACACACUACACUACACUACACACUACACUACACUACACACUGGACUACACUACACAACACACUACACACUACACACUACACUACACUACACACUACACUACACUACACACUGGACUACACUACACACUACACACUGGACUACACUACACACUACACUACACACUGGACUACACACUACACACUACACUACACACUACACUACACACUACACUACACUACACACUACACACUACACUACACUACACACUACACUACACUAUACACUACACUACACACUACACACUACACUACACACUACACUACACACUACACACUACACACUACACACUACACUACACACUACACACUACACUACACACUACACACUACACUACACACUACACUACACACUACACUACACUACACA